CAAAAUGUUUUCUAGGGUUCCGCAUGUACAUGGUCUGGUCCGAGAGAAAACGCGUCGCAAGACGUCACGGAAGGACAAAAGCCUGGGAGAU
rnacentral:sRNA from 2 species